rnacentral:snRNA from 1 species
GCUUUUUUUGGAGACAUCUGAUAAAAUUGGAACGAUACAAAGAAGAUUAGCAUGUCCCCGCAAGGAUGACACGCACAAAUCAAGAAAUAGUCCAAAUAAAU